AGCAGCGCAUCCUCCAGGUCUUUCUCAAUCAAGAAAUCCUAUGACCUUCUUGAAACUGAAGGUUUUGAAACCCAGAAGCACAACAGCUGGGGGAAAGCGCGCUGUCUGAGGGGGAGGCAGCGGCGCGGGGGGCGGGGAGGCCGUGACUCCUGCCCACGCGGCUGCCAGCCCCACCAGCGCCGCCCCGCACGCACGGGCGCCCGGCUCGAGCACUGCACCACGGGGCACGGGGCGAGCCGGAGGGUAUCGACCGAAGACCUUUCCCGAACUCCAGUCUGCCAUCCGCAGCAGGGCAAGGCCGCUGAAAAUCGAUGGCAAAUCCUGGGGGCCGAGAAACUCCGCCGAAGGCAGCGGCUCUCUUUUGUGUUUUCAAUUAUUGUUUCACUCGGGAGGGGAACCAGGUUACCACGCACAUUUGCUCAAAGCAAAGGAAAAUCUAAUCAAUGCGACCAGCGGAUCCGGACUGGAGCGGCCUCGAGGGCCGCCUCGCUCUCGGCACCCGGUCGCAGGGAGGGGCCCCGGCGUCAGGCCCAGCACCCGGCGAAGCCCCUCCGGCGUGGACUGCUGUCCCCCCACGACAGAACUGAUGUCCUCCCGGACCACGCAGGCCAGAAACCAACGGUCAGCAAAGCCCAGGACGCUGUGGCUGUAACUUCUCCUCAAGCACGUGGAUUUUGCCAACGUGCACACAAGACACGCGAGGGCCGUCUUCCCUACGAGUGUGCGGGGAGGCCAGCCCAGUGGGGACGCCAGGCUCACGGGGCGACACCUGCCGCCUUCCAGGAAACGGGGGCCUGGGGCAGGGGUUUCCGUCCACCCGUGGCCUGCAUGCACACACCCUGGGGCCGGCCCAGCCGUGCACCGCGGCCCACCCCCAGCCGUGGCACCCCACGGACCCCGGCUCAUCAGGCCUCUUGUUUGACAUCACAAGACCCUGCCAGGGCUCAAGGACAACAAAUAAUGCCCCCCAGGGGGGGCGGUUACGGGCGCAGACGCAGAGCGAGAGGGCGCCUACGGUACCCAUGUCCCCAGUGAGACAGGAAGGAACCCCGGGGGGGCCUGAACAGGACAAGGACGGGAGCAAGUGAGUUGUGGGGACCCCCGGCAGGCAGCACAGCUCCCCGCACCGGGGUCCGGUAGGGGGCCUCACCCAGGACAGAGCGACGUCUGUGAGACAAGAAGGAGCCGCGUAGGGCUCAGCAGGUGCCUGAGAGGAGGGCCUCGCGGUCUCCGUGCGCCCCGAAAUGCUAGAGCAAGGCCGACUGCCAUCUGCACUGUGGCCACCUCUGCCUGGUGACCCCAGGCUCUCUCCUUGGAGGCGGUGGCGUUUGCGUUGCGCCUCGAAGGCCCAGCAGGCCUAGCACGUCAGCCAGCAGAAGGGGCGCCUUGGGGUGCGGGGGCCGCGGGGGUCGGGGCUUGAGGGCACGUGACCGCGGGAAGUCAGGUUACAGAGGGGAGGUGGGGAGGCGGCCCAGCUAGGUGAGGCCUCUCUGAACCCCAUCCUUUCAGUAGCUGGGGGGCACUGAAGCCUCCUGGGGAGGCCUCCCCGGGAGGAG
rnacentral:lncRNA from 1 species